rnacentral:rRNA from 1 species
GACGAACGCUGGCGGCGUGCCUAAUACAUGCAAGUUGAGCGCUGAAGGUUGGUACUUGUACCAACUGGAUGAGCAGCGAACGGGUGAGUAACGCGUGGGGAAUCUGCCUUUGAGCGGGGGACAACAUUUGGAAACGAAUGCUAAUACCGCAUAAAAACUUUAAACACAAGUUUUAAGUUUGAAAGAUGCAAUUGCAUCACUCAAAGAUGAUCCCGCGUUGUAUUAGCUAGUUGGUGAGGUAAAGGCUCACCAAGGCGAUGAUACAUAGCCGACCUGAGAGGGUGAUCGGCCACAUUGGGACUGAGACACGGCCCAAACUCCUACGGGAGGCAGCAGUAGGGAAUCUUCGGCAAUGGACGAAAGUCUGACCGAGCAACGCCGCGUGAGUGAAGAAGGUUUUCGGAUCGUAAAACUCUGUUGGUAGAGAAGAACGUUGGUGAGAGUGGAAAGCUCAUCAAGUGACGGGAACUACCCAGAAAGGGACGGCUAACUACG